AAAACGGAGACGCUGAGUUCCAUGUCCAGUGGAAGCGGAGGACCCAUGUGUGGGGUGAAUCCGGGCGGGCUGUUCUCAGAAGAUUUGAGAAUGUUUCAUCCGCUCGGUAGGGUGAGCUCUCCACCCGAACCCGUCAGCUAACUUCGCAAGCGUUGGAGGGAGCGGUG
rnacentral:sRNA from 3 species